AUUGAACGCUGGCGGCAGGCCUAACACAUGCAAGUCGAACGAGUGGCGGACGGGUGAGUAAUGUCUGGGAAACUGCCUGAUGGAGGGGGAUAACUACUGGAAACGGUAGCUAAUACCGCAUACCAUCGGAUGUGCCCAGAUGGGAUUAGGUAGUAGGUGGGGUAAAGGUUCACCUAGGCGACGAUCCCUAGCUUGUCUGAGAGGAGGACCAGCCACACGGGAACUGGGACACGGUCCGGAUUCAUACGUGAGGCGGAAGUGGGGAAUAUGGCAAAAUGGGCGAAAGCCUGAUGAAGCCAUGCAGGGUGGAUGAAGAAGGCAUUCUGGUUGUAAAGUACUGUCAGCGGGGAGGCGUUACCCGCAGAAGAAGCACCGGCUAACUCCGUGCCAGCAGCCGCGGUAAUAC
rnacentral:rRNA from 1 species